UACAGAGGGUGCAAGCGUUGUUCGGAAUUAUUGGGCGUAAAGCGCGUGUAGGCGGCCUAGCAAGUCGGGCGUGAAAGCCCUCGGCUCAACCGAGGAAGUGCACCCGAAACUGCUGGGCUUGAGUGCCGGAGAGGAUGGCGGAAUUCCCCAAGUAGAGGUGAAAUUCGUAGAUAUGGGGAGGAACACCGGUGGCGAAGGCGGCCAUCUGGACGGUAACUGACGCUGAGACGCGAAAGCGUGGGUAGCAAACAGG
rnacentral:rRNA from 1 species